GAUUAGAUACCCUGGUAGUCCAUGCCGUAAACGAUGUCGACUUGGAGGUUGUUCCCUUGAGGAGUGGCUUCCGGAGCUAACGCGUUAAGUCGACCGCCUGGGGAGUACGGCCGCAAGGUUAAAACUCAAAUGAAUUGACGGGGGCCCGCACAAGCGGUGGAGCAUGUGGUUUAAUUCGAUGCAACGCGAAGAACCUUACCUACUCUUGACAUCCAGAGAACUUAGCAGAGAUGCUUUGGUGCCUUCGGGAGCUCUGAGACAGGUGCUGCAUGGCUGUCGUCAGCUCGUGUUGUGAAAUGUUGGGUUAAGUCCCGCAACGAGCGCAACCCUUAUCCUUUGUUGCCAGCGAUUCGGUCGGGAACUCAAAGGAGACUGCCGGUGAUAAACCGGAGGAAGGUGGGGAUGACGUCAAGUCAUCAUGGCCCUUACGAGUAGGGCUACACACGUGCUACAAUGGCGCAUACAAAGAGAAGCGACCUCGCGAGAGCAAGCGGACCUCAUAAAGUGCGUCGUAGUCCGGAUCGGAGUCUGCAACUCGACUCCGUGAAGUCGGAAUCGCUAGUAAUCGUGGAUCAGAAUGCCACGGUGAAUACGUUCCCGGGCCUUGUACACACCGCCCGUCACACCAUGGGAGUGGGUUGCAAAAGAAGUAGGUAGCUUAACCUUCGGGAGGGCGCUUACCACUUUGUGAUUCAUGACUGGGGUGAAGUCGUAACAAGG
rnacentral:rRNA from 1 species